UACGUAGGGUGCAAGCGUUGUCCGGAAUUAUUGGGCGUAAAGAGCUCGUAGGCGGUCUGUCGCGUCUGCUGUGAAAACUCAGGGCUUAACCCUGAGCUUGCAGUGGGUACGGGCAGACUAGAGUGCGGUAGGGGAGACUGGAAUUCCUGGUGUAGCGGUGAAAUGCGCAGAUAUCAGGAGGAACACCGGUGGCGAAGGCGGUUCUCUGGGCAUGUCCUGACGCUGAGGAGCGAAAGCGUGGGGAGCGAACAGG
rnacentral:rRNA from 1 species